ACCCAGCUGAUGAGUCCGGAACUGGACGAAAUAUGCAUCCUGGAU
rfam:Schistosoma mansoni strain Puerto Rico chromosome 6, complete genome